ACUCCUACGGGAGGCAGCAGUAGGGAAUCUUCCACAAUGGACGAAAGUCUGAUGGAGCAACGCCGCGUGAGUGAAGAAGGGUUUCGGCUCGUAAAACUCUGUUGUUAAAGAAGAACAUAUCUGAGAGUAACUGUUCAGGUAUUGACGGUAUUUAACCAGAAAGCCACGGCUAACUACGUGCCAGCAGCCGCGGUAAUACGUAGGUGGCAAGCGUUGUCCGGAUUUAUUGGGGCGUAAAGCGAGCGCAGGCGGUUUUUAAGUCUGAUGUGAAAGCCUUCGGCUCAACCGAAGAAGUGCAUCGGAAACUGGGAAACUUGAGUGCAGAAGAGGACAGUGGAACUCCAUGUGUAGCGGUGAAAUGCGUAGAUAUAUGGAAGAACACCAGUGGCGAAGGCGGCUGUCUGGUCUGUAACCGACGCUGAGGCUCGAAAGUAUGGGUAGCAAACAGGAUUAGAUACCCUGGUAGGAUAGCG
rnacentral:rRNA from 1 species